rfam:Aliifodinibius roseus strain DSM 21986 genome assembly, contig: Ga0134108_127
GCCCGAGUGGCGGAAUUGGUAGACGCGUUGGACUUAAAAUCCAAUUGGUAUCUAAAUACCAGUGCCGGUUCGAGUCCGGCCUCGGGUA